rnacentral:lncRNA from 1 species
UAUAUUAUAUGAUAAUACCGAGGGUUAUCGAUUACAGUGUAUUGUAUGUAUAAGUACAGAGGGGUGCCGAUUACAGGUUGUUGUGAACAGAAGCAAGAUCAUUGGAUAGUCGAUGUUUAUCUUCGUUUCACUGACCAAUCAGAGGGUAGCUUACAAGCAGUAGUGAGAACAUGUGCUAGUCAAUUCGGGGCAGUCGCCAUUUUUCCCACAAGGAGUGAGGUGCUAGCGAACAUGAUGGGCUAGAGCGAGGUUAGGAAGACUCCCCGGGGUCCAAGGUGGGGGUGGACUAGGGACCAUGCGGCAGGCAGCCGUGUGGCUAGUCACGUGACCUGAGACAUG